rnacentral:rRNA from 1 species
UACGUAGGAUGCAGGCGUUAAUCGGAAUUACUGGGCGUAAAGCGUGCGCAGGCGGUUUGCUAAGACAGGUGUGAAAUCCCCGGGCUUAACCUGGGAACUGCGCUUGUAACUGGCAAGCUUGAGUGUGGCAGAGGGGGGUGGAAUUCCACGUGUAGCAGUGAAAUGCGUAGAUAUUGGGAGGAACACCAGUGGCGAAGGCGGCUCACUGGACCGGAACUGACGCUGAGGCGCGAAAGCGUGGGGAGCAAACGGG